UUCGAUCCCUACUCCUUCAAUGCCCUUAAUCAUUCCUUCGCCACGACGCCAUCAUCUCUACCGUAACCAGCAACAUCAACCACCGCUAGCACCACCAUCAAAUACCUAAUUCAUCUCUAUCCUAAUGAUUACUUACCAGCAACUUCAUUUACCGCCAGCACCACCAUCAAAUGCCGUUAUUACCAACCGGUAAGAACACCAAAACCAACAGCACCACCACUUCAGCCUCAAGCACCGUCACUACAAGCCUCAACAUUUGAUUCCCUAAUGGAGUUAAAUAUUACAGACAUUGAUAAAUUUCUUCACAAACAGUUUGUGAGCUUUAAGUGUUUGUGAAAAUGGCAGGCACCUUUAUUGGUGGAAUUGACAGGUUGUCUUUACAAUUUUUUAGGUUUCAUUCAUUUGUCUUUGUUAGAACUGAGGUAUGAGUGGUGGUUUGAGAUUGCAGCGUUACAAAGAACAAUGGAUUUCAUGAGAAUAUUAACAGUUAAUGCUACAAAGAAGUGGACAUUCUUGCUAAGGAACUGAUUGGGAUUUAUUGAGAGAAUAAAAGCAUGACCGGUGAUUCAGCUGGUAUGGGUUAGUGGCUUUGUACUGCGUACUCUUUCGAUCUUGAUUAAGUAAGUGGCAGUGGCAAAGCUAGGUCCUUAUGUUGGCUGUAUUGGGGAGUAUACGAACUAAGUUCUCGAGCAAUUGAACAGUGAAGAACGGAAGGUUAUAUCGUUGGUCAGUAUGGUUAUUUUCACGAGAUUAAAGAGGUCUACAUAAUUGUGUUUCCGGUAGUUGAGUGAGGAAAGGAUUUAAGUGCUAUGGUCGAAUACAGAUUAAAGAGAUUAAAUGUCGUCAUAUUGACCAGUAACAGAGAGAUCUCUGAAUACAAAUGCGCCCUACUUCAGAUAGGGCAAGACCAGAAAAUGAAAAUGAAAAACCACAGUUCCCUGAGAAGCAAACGAGAAUUUUCAAUGAAAGAUAGGUGAUGCAACUAAAAUGAUAUGUUUUACGGGUUUCGAAACGGAACAGCACUCGCAUCGCGCAUGCUUCUUUACUAGUUUAUAUAAAGAAUCUGGUAAUUUGCAGGUAUCCUUGAAACCUUGGCGCUGCAAAUGUCAUUCUAAUGGGAUUCCUAAUAUAUUUUCGUGCAUGGUAACACUCAAAAAUAUAAUCGAUUGCUUCUUUCUUUUUUCUCUCCAGCUGGUGUUGCUUCUUUUUUGCCCUCUGCUGCUACCGGAAUGUAAAUAGAAGAAAACUUUGCUUCGCUGGUGGCAGGGACAGAAGCGAGCAAGUAACGUGUACCUGGUGAUAGUAGUCUGUGAAUGUGAGAUGGUGAUAAAACUGAUAUUAGGUGGUAGCAGACCAACAAGCUACAAAUGAUGUAGGAGGUCUAACAACUGGUGGUGCGUAAGAACAAGUGAUUUUAUCAACGAUCCGUAAAUAUCUUGAUUUUUUCUGGGAGGUUUAUUCGUGACUAUUAUGCGAGAUUUGCAUCGUAAAAAGUGCACUCGACAAGUUGAAAGAGUAUUAGUUGUUCGGAUGAUCCGUUGUUAUAUGUUAUUGAGGUAUGUAAAACAAAAAGGAAAAAAUUCUUUGUGAAUUUUAUGAUGAUCGCUGAAUAUGAGUUUUGAUUAGUUUCUUCGCUGGACAAGAUUAGGAUUAUCAAUCAACUACUAAACAAUAGUCCAUAGGAGUCUUUAAGGUAGAGUUGUGUAGCAUAAUACGGUG